ACUACUACGGUGCAGCAGCUAAUGAUGCAGAGUUCGAUAGAAAAAGAACAUGGUAGAGUAGUGGAAAGUACCUAAAUGAAGAUGGAAAAAAAAACCAGAUAAUGAUGGACAGAUAAGUGUUGGCACAUCUCACAGAUACGUGUGAAAAUCAUUCAUCCCAUCGACCAUUUUUGGCUAUCAAAGAAGAGAAACCUGUGCUCACAACUACAGAAGGAUGGAUCAGCCCUGGUAAUACAAAUACAAGGUAAUUACAAUGUGAAUUGUAAACAUUAAGCCUAAAGAUAAGCCUUGUGG